UUCCUAUCUGAUGGUGCAAAAGGAAACAUUGAUGUACCAAUCCAUCUUACUAUAAAUUGCAAGAAAAUAAUUACAGAAGGGUGAAGUACAACCUUCCAGAAAAAUAUAAUUGCACUUUUUUGUUUCCUGUGCAUAAUGAUAUUCAAUAAAAGUAUAAAUGGAUGGAUAA